GACGAACGCUGGCGGCGUGCUUAACACAUGCAAGUCGAACGGAAAGGCCCUGCUUUUGUGGGGUGCUCGAGUGGCGAACGGGUGAGUAACACGUGAGUAACCUGCCCUUGACUUUGGGAUAACUUCAGGAAACUGGGGCUAAUACCGGAUAGGAGCUCCUGCUGCAUGGUGGGGGUUGGAAAGUUUCGGCGGUGGGGGCUGGACUCGCGGCUUAUCAGCUUGUUGGUGGGGUAGUGGCGUACCAAGGCUUUGACGGGUAGCCGGCCUGAGAGGGUGACCGGCCACAUUGGGCCUGAGAUACGGCCCAGACUCCUACGGGAGGCAGCAGUGGGGAAUAUUGCACAAUGGGCGGAAGCCUGAUGCAACAACCCCGCGUGCGGGAUGACGGCCUUCGGGUUGUAAACCGCUUUCGCCUGUGACGAAGCGUGAGUGACGGUAAUGGGUAAAGAAGCACCGGCUAACUACGUG
rnacentral:rRNA from 1 species